rnacentral:rRNA from 1 species
UCCAGACUCCUACGGGAGGCAGCAGUGGGGAAUAUUGCACAAUGGGGGAAACCCUGAUGCAGCAACGCCGCGUGAGUGAAGAAGUAUUUCGGUAUGUAAAGCUCUAUCAGCAGGGAAGAAGAUGACGGUACCUGAAUAAGAAGCCCCGGCUAACUACGUGCCAGCAGCCGCGGUAAUACGUAGGGGGCAAGCGUUAUCCGGAUUUACUGGGUGUAAAGGGAGCGCAGGCGGUACGGCAAGUCUGAUGUGAAAGCCCGGGGCUCAACCCCGGUACUGCAUUGGAAACUGUCGGACUAGAGUGUCGGAGGGGUAAGUGGAAUUCCUAGUGUAGCGGUGAAAUGCGUAGAUAUUAGGAGGAACACCAGUGGCGAAGGCGGCUUACUGGACGAUUACUGACGCUGAGGCUCGAAAGCGUGGGGAGCAAACAGGAUUAGAUACCCUCGUACUC